rnacentral:tRNA from 2 species
GGCUAUGGCGAAGUGGUUAACGCAUCGGAUUGUGGCUCCGACAUUCGUGGGUUCGAUUCCCACUAGU